GACGAACGCUGGCGGCGUGCCUAAUACAUGCAAGUCGAGCGAAGUUUUUCUGGUGCUUGCACCGGAAAAACUUAGCGGCGAACGGGUGAGUAACACGUAAAGAACCUGCCUCAUAGACUGGGACAACUAUUGGAAACGAUAGCUAAUACCGGAUAAUAGCAUUAACUGCAUGGUUGAUGUUUAAAAGUUGGUUUUGCUAACACUAUGAGAUGGCUUUGCGGUGCAUUAGCUAGUUGGUGGGGUAAAGGCCUACCAAGGCGACGAUGCAUAGCCGACCUGAGGGGGUGAUCGGCCACACUGGGACUGAGACACGGCCCAGACUCCUACGGGAGGCAGCAGUAGGGAAUCUUCCGCAAUGGGCGAAAGCCUGACGGAGCAACGCCGCGUGAGUGAAGAAGGAUUUCGGUUCGUAAAGCUCUGUUGUUAGGGAAGAAUGAUUGUGUAGUAACUAUACACAGUAGAGACGGUACCUAACCAGAAAGCCACGGCUAACUACGUG
rnacentral:rRNA from 1 species